UACGGAGGAUGCAAGCGUUAUCCGGAUUCAUUGGGUUUAAAGGGUGCGUAGGCGGAAAUGUAAGUCAGUGGUGAAAUUUUGCAGCUUAACUGUAACAGUGCCGUUGAUACUGUUUGGCUAGGAUUUGGUUGUAGUGUGCGGAAUGUGUGGUGUAGCGGUGAAAUGCUUAGAUAUCACACAGAACACCGAUUGCGAAGGCAGCACACUAAGUCAUUAUUGACGCUGAGGCACGAAAGUGUGGGGAUCAAACAGGA
rnacentral:rRNA from 1 species